AAAGAAAAGAACCAAACAACAAGAAAGAAAAGAAGAAAAAAAGCGGUGGAAAAAAAAGGGGCUUCCGCUUUCCAACUCUACGGCUAACACUUCAACUGUUCUUU
rnacentral:ribozyme from 1 species